rnacentral:tRNA from 2 species
GGAGGUUUGGCAGAGUGGUCGAAUGCACCGGUUUUGAAAACCGACGUACGUGAGAGCGUACCCAGGGUUCGAAUCCCUGAGCCUCCGCCA